rnacentral:rRNA from 1 species
GCCUAACACAUGCAAGUCGAGGGGCAGCACAUGAAGUAGCAAUACGGAUGGUGGCGACCGGCGCACGGGUGAGUAACGCGUAUGCAACCUGCCUACAACAAGGGAAUAACCCGUUGAAAGACGGACUAAUACCCUAUAAUACAGGGGUCCCGCAUGGGAAUAUUUGUUAAAGAUUUAUCGGUUGUAGAUGGGCAUGCGUUCCAUUAGCUAGUUGGUGAGGUAAGGGCUCACCAAGGCAACGAUGGAUAGGGGAACUGAGAGGUUUAUCCCCCACACUGGUACUGAGACACGGACCAGACUCCUACGGGAGGCAGCAGUGAGGAAUAUUGGUCAAUGGGCGCAAGCCUGAACCAGCCACGUCGCGUGAAGGAAGACGGCCCUACGGGUUGUAAACUUCUUUUGUAAGGGAAUAAAGUGCAGUACGCGUACUGUUUUGCAUGUACCUUACGAAUAAGGAUCGGCUAACUCCGUGCCAGCAGCCGCGGUAAUACGGAGGAUCCGAGCGUUAUCCGGAUUUAUUGGGUUUAAAGGGUGCGCAGGCGGGGGAUUAAGUCGGCGGUGAAAUUUUGCAGCUCAACUGUAAAAGUGCCUUCGAAACUGGUUUCCUUGAGUGUGGAUGAAGUAGGCGGAAUUUGUGGUGUAGCGGUGAAAUGCAUAGAUAUCACGAGGAACUCCGAUUGCGCAGGCAGCUUACUAAGCCAUAACUGACGCUCAGGCACGAAGGCGUGG